rnacentral:rRNA from 1 species
AUUGAACGCUGGCGGAAUGCUUUACACAUGCAAGUCGAACGGCAGCACGGACUUCGGUCUGGUGGCGAGUGGCGAACGGGUGAGUAAUGUAUCGGAACGUGCCCAGUCGUGGGGGAUAACGUAGUGAAAAUUACGCUAAUACCGCAUACGAUCUAUGGGUGAAAGCGGGGGAUCGCAAGACCUCGCGCGAUUGGAGCGGCCGAUAUCAGAUUAGGUAGUGGGUGGGGUAAAGGCCCAUCAAGCCAACGAUCUGUAGCUGGUCUGAGAGGACGACCAGCAACACUGGAACUGAGACACGGUCCAGACUCCUACGGGAGGCAGCAGUGGGGAAUUUUGGACAAUGGGCGAAAGCCUGAUCCAGCCAUUCCGCGUGCAGGAUGAAGGCCCUCGGGUUGUAAACUGCUUUUGUACAGAACGAAAAGGUUUCUACUAAUACUAGGAGCUCAUGACGGUACUGUAAGAAUAAGCACCGGCUAACUACGUGCCAGCCGCCGCCGUAA